rnacentral:rRNA from 1 species
CGGGGGGCAGCAGUAAGGAAUAUUGGUCAAUGGAGGCAACUCUGAACCAGCCAUGCCGCGUGCAGGAUGAAGGCCCUAUGGGUCGUAAACUGCUUUUAUACAAGAGAAAACCUCAGUACGUGUACUGAGCUGAUAGUAUUGUAAGAAUAAGCAUCGGCUAACUUCGUGCCAGCAGCCGCGGUAAGACGAAGGAUGCAAGCGUUAUCCGGAUUCAUUGGGUUUAAAGGGUGCGUAGGCGGACUUGUAAGUCAGUGGUGAAAUCUCUUUGCUUAACAAAGAAACUGCCAUUGAUACUGCAGGUCUAGAGUAUAGAUGACGUUGGCGGAAUAUGACAUGUAGUGGUGAAAUACUUAGAUAUGUCAUAGAACACCGAUUGCGAAGGCAGCUAACGAAACUAUAACUGACGCUGAGGCACGAAAGUGCGGGGAUCAAACAGGAUUAGAUACCCCAGU